rnacentral:rRNA from 1 species
UACAGGGGGGGCAAGCGUUGUUCGGAAUUACUGGGCGUAAAGGGCGCGUAGGCGGCACGGCAAGUCAGGAGUGAAAGGCCUGGGCUCAACCGUAUUUUGUCGGUAGAAACUGCAGGACUUGAGGCUGGGAGGGGCUGGUGGAAUUCCCUGUGUAGCGGUGAAAUGCGUAGAGAUGGGGGAGAACACUCGUGGCGAAGGCGGCCAGCUAGACCAGUUCUGACACUGAGGCGCGACAGCGUGGGGAGCAAACAGG